AAGCACAAAGGUUUGGUCCUGGCCUUACUGUUAAUUUUUAUUAGACCUACACAUGCAAGUUUCCGCAACCUGGUAAGUAUGCCCUUUUAACUUCCAUUGAGUUUAAAGGAGCGGGUAUCAGGCACACUUCCCAAAGUAGGCCAUGACACCUUGUUUAACCACACCCCCAAGGGUUACAGCAGUGACUAACAUUGAGCUAUAAAUGAAAGUUUGACUAAAUCAUAAUGAAAAGGGUUGGUAAAUCUCGUGCCAGCCACCGCAGUCAUACGAUUAACCCAAAUUAACAGAAGAACGGCAUAAAGGGUGUUUAAGCAUUCAAUUCACCAAAUAAAGUUAAAGCUCAACUGUGCUGUAAUACGCCCUAGUUGAUAUUAAAAUACGCAACUUACGUGACUUUACCCAUGCUGAAGACACUUAAGCUAAGGUACAAAUUGGGAUUAGAGACCCCACUAUGCUUAGCCAUAAACUGAGGUAAUUAAAUAACAAAAUUAUUCAGCAGAGAACUACUAGCCACUGCUUAAAACUCAAAGGACUUGGCGGUGCCCUAGAUCCUCCUAGAAAAGCCUGUUCUAUAAUCGAUAAAUCCCGAUACACCUUACCCCUUUUCACUUAUCAAUCUAUAUACCACUAUCAUCAGCUCACCCCAACAGGGUUCCAAAGUGAGCAAAAUCAUGAAACCAUAAAAACAUUAGGUCAAGGUGUAGCAUAUUGGGGGGCGGGAGGGGAGAAAGCAAUGGGCUACAUUUUCUAUGUUAGAACACAGCGGAUUGUCUAUUGAAACAAAGACAUGAAGGAGGAUUUAGUAGUAAAUUAAGAAUAGAGAGCUUAAUUGAAAUAGGCAAUAGGGUACAUACACACCUCCCGUCACCCUCCUCAAUAAAGUAACUUCAAAUACCGAAUAAGAAUACACCAAAAAGAGGAGAAAAAUCAUAACAUGCUAAGUGUACUAGAAAGUGCACUUGGACAAUCAAAAUG
rnacentral:ncRNA from 1 species